rnacentral:lncRNA from 10 species
GGUGGGGGGGAGGGAGACGGGGCGGGAGAGGGGGCAAGGCUGCCCCUGAAGGGAACCAGCUGGCCCGUCCGUUGGCCGAGCUGCCUGCUGUCUCCAGCCGGGGGCAUGGGGACCCGCGUCCCGUGGGCCAGGGGCAGAGGCCUGGGCAUGGCCUGCUGGGCGGGGUCCUCGGAGGGGGGAGCGAAGAGGGCCCCAGGCAGCCCGGGAAGGGCAGCGCCAGGGCUCCCGCUUAGGAAAGGGUAGCAGUGGGGGUCCCCAAGCCCCCACUGCUGGGCAGUGAGUGAUCUGGUGGCUUUUUUCCCAAAUGGAAUCCUCAAAAAACCCCUGAGCCCCACAUGAGCGGAGUCUCCAUCCUGGCCCAGGCAGCUGAGCUGGGCCGCAGGAGACGCGUCGCUCGCCUGACAGUGUCCCCGAGAGCUGGGAGGGGAUGGCCGGAUGGGGACGUGGCAGGCGGGGGCACGCGAAGGCAGCUCGGGCGCGGCGGACGGCGCGGCUCACACGAAGAUCUGGAUGCGGUCGCGGAUGGGCUGGCGGCAG